CGACGACCUAGGCGCGGUGCAAAAGGUGGUGAACGUUGCUCAACGUCGUCUUGGCUUCCACCCUGGGCGGCACCGUUCAAAGAAUUAUAAAGUAUUUCACUUGCUCGUUUACCUGGUAUGGAUACGAGAGCCCAUGGUGCAGCGUUUAAUGCUUCCGCUAUAGCGUUGAUCUCAUCUACAUCAGCUUCACUCUUCUCAUCCGAUCUUCGUCGUCUUCCUAAUCGUGGACCAAACCACAUUGCACCAGAAACGCCAUUAAAUGUUCUCUUCACGCAACUGGAACCGGAACAAACUCCAUUGGCCUCAUUCGCUCUCCCACCGUUACCAAAAAAAGUAUCCUUCGAGCCGGAUUUGAACCAGCGACCUAUGGAUGCCUACUACCGCAUGAUCAAAGCCAACUACAGUCCACCGCUCUACCAACUGAGCUAUCGAAGAUUAUCGUCUACUCACCGUAUUCAGCAGAGAUGCACGUAAUGAGUAGCGCUAAGCUGACAGCGGCACAAAGAUGCUUGGUAAAAAGGAUCAUACUGAUGUCUAUACGGUAUUGCACCUCGAGGGCGAGUGGUGUCGGCUACAGGGAAAUCCUCAGGUUAUAUAGGUGGUGCGAUCUCAGGGGGUAACACGCGGGGGGGUGGCUUUCGAUAGAAAGACUUCCGUGGGUCGUGUCGAGGGUUUACUGUACACGAGCAGGAGCGAGAGGCAAAAGUAUUGAGGUACCCCCCAUGGGCAAUCUCGACAUCCCCGUGAUUUGUCUCCAUUUGAUUGAGACUUCGAGUCACCCAUACUGAAUGAGAUUGAGAGAACCGAGACCAAAAAUACCACCAGAGAAAAUCCCUGAGCAGCAACAUGUCAGAAGAGUCAUCCUUAUAAUUUUAUACCCUUACGAAGUCCAGUGGUUCCACACAAGUUCGGAUGCAAGGAUAACUGAGUCCUUAUCAGUUAUCAGGGUCACAUACGAUCACACCCCAUACCGUGUAAUAAAUGAAACGAGAGAUUUGCUGAUCCCCUGGUGGCGCCAGGGGGAAGACAAUCAGUCGAGAAGAGUUAAAUCCUGUCAAUUAUCCAAUUCAAUUUGGGGAUCAAGUUAUCAAGUCUGUGAGGUUGACUAUUACCUAUAUAAAGGUCGACUCUAGAGGGAGAAGAAAAAAAUAAAAUGAUCACUCAAGGCACAGGAGGAUAGUCGAGAGAACGUGUGUGCUAUUCGAUAGUCAUGGAAUGACAGAAGUCUCUGAAUAGUCAAACGGAUUGAGAUUAAUGCCUGGACCAAUUACAGCAGCCGAAUUUAUACGUGCCGGCGCCUACUUUGGGACUAAGAAAGGAUUUUUGUAGAACGCGUUGAAAAACUACCCCCAACUCUAAUUGCCCGAGUAAUUAAAAUAACGUAACGCCCAUCCUGCGGUCUCUGGUGUCUUUAAGAGGGAAGAAAAAGAAAUACCCGAGAGUACCAGGAAAGUUCUAAUAAUAGUUGGACGCGUAGCUGUUUCUGAAGUAUUCCUCUCUUUAUAACUUUCUCUGGGAGUAAUGAUUUUAAUUUCUGCUCCUUGAUACCAACAAUGCGAUGUCCGACGCAUUAUUUAUUCUACAUUUUUUUCUCCUCAAAAAUGAAACACCUAGACCGAUACAUGAUCAAUGAAAAAUGAAUAAUAAUGACUAUAGCAUCACUAUAUCAACCAUAUACAGUCUCUGAAAGUGAAACAUUCUAUAGUACUGUAUCAUUAAUUAACUAAAGCAUAUAUCUCAGUACUCCGAGCAACCGUGGCAUCUUGUUUAGAUCGCCUACGCGUAUCCUGAGAGCGUAUCUAGCCGUUUGUUUAACUUGCUACCAUAUAUUUAUACGCCUCUGCAGCAGUCUCACUGACGUGCCACGUACUAUAUCAAUCAAGUCCCGAUUGUUCCUGCUUCAAUUCCAAGGCCCAAACAUGCUGGGGCCAGCCGGUCCUCCCUUUUCCACGACGUGCACCUUCUCCAGAGUGUCCAAUCUCGUCCUGGUCACAUUCCACCUGUAGGAAUGAAUAUUUGCCUCGUACACCAUACUCACCAGUCCUGACUACACAAAGCUGGAUUACAAAAUUAGAAGAACUCCUGAUGCUACACUGUGAUUCAGCUAUCUGCGUUAACUGGUAAUCGUUAUCUAGUGGACUCUCUAGGGGUCCAUUAUGCGCUGCACUCUAAGAGACGUGGAACCUGGUGCAGACUUAAUUGCUAGCAGAUUGCCAGGACGAUUGUGAUUUAGAUAAGGGAGCCACUCUCUGGAUCAAUCUAAGCGAUCACACUUGAAAAGGAUCGAACGAUAUUAUCUUCACAUUGCUGCACCCUCAUAUACAAUUAGUUUCUGGCAUUGCAAAGGGAUGAGAUGAUGUUUACUUCCCAGAUGCCAAUAGGAAAGGACGUUUUUCUCUGUACUAUACAGAGGGUGCACGUCUACUGCAGGACAUAAGUUCCGCCCUGAAGGACGUGGGCGGCUCGUCACUCUGCAGUACAGCCAUCAGGUAGCCGAUGUAGGAACAAGCAAGUCUGAG